rnacentral:tRNA from 1 species
GGCUCGGUAGCUCAGUUGGUAGAGCAGUGGACUGAAAAUCCAUGUGUCGGCAGUUCAAUUCUGUCCCGAGCCA